AAAUGAAUUGACGGGGGCCCGCACAAGCGGUGGAGCAUGUGGUUUAAUUCGACGCAACGCGAAGAACCUUACCAGGGUUUGACAUCCUCUGCAAGUCGUAGAGAUACGAUGUUUUCUUUUAGAAACAGAGAGACAGGUGGUGCAUGGUUGUCGUCAGCUCGUGUCGUGAGAUGUUGGGUUAAGUCCCGCAACGAGCGCAACCCCUGUACUUAGUUGCCAUCACUAAGGGUGGGCACUCUAAGUAGACUGCCGGUGACAAACCGGAGGAAGGUGGGGAUGACGUCAAAUCAUCAUGCCCCUUAUGUCCUGGGCUACACACGUGCUACAAUGGUUGGUACAGAGGGCAGCGAAGUCGUGAGGCUAAGCGAAUCCCAAAAAGCCGAUCACAGUUCGGAUUGUAGGCUGAAACUCGCCUACAUGAAGUCGGAAUCGCUAGUAAUCGCAGGUCAGCAUACUGCGGUGAAUACGUUCCCGGGCCUUGUACACACCGCCCGU
rnacentral:rRNA from 1 species